UUGUCUCAAAGAUUAAGCCAUGCAUGUCUCAGUACAAGCCGAAUUAAGGUGAAACCGCGAAAGGCUCAUUAAAUCAGUUAUGGUUCCUUAGAUCGUACCCAAAUUUACUUGGAUAACUGUGGUAAUUCUAGAGCUAAUACAUGCAAACAGAGCUCCGACCGGAGACGGAAGGAGCGCUUUUAUUAGAUCAAAACCAAUCGGCGGCGCGUUGCGCCGUCGUUCAUUCUGGCGAAUCUGAAUAACUUUCUGCUGAUCGCACGGUCUCGCACCGGCGACGCAUCUUUCAAAUGUCUGCCUUAUCAACUGUCGAUGGUAGGUUCCGUGCCUACCAUGGUCGUAACGGGUAACGGGGAAUCAGGGUUCGAUUCCGGAGAGGGAGCCUGAGAAACGGCUACCACAUCCAAGGAAGGCAGCAGGCGCGCAAAUUACCCACUCCCGGCACGGGGAGGUAGUGACGAAAAAUAACGAUACGGGACUCAUCCGAGGCCCCGUAAUCGGAAUGAGUACACUCUAAACCCUUUAACGAGGAUCAAUUGGAGGGCAAGUCUGGUGCCAGCAGCCGCGGUAAUUCCAGCUCCAAUAGCGUAUAUUAAAGUUGUUGCGGUUAAAAAGCUCGUAGUCGAAUCUGUGUCUCGCGCCGCCGGUUCAUCGCUCGCGGUGUUUAACUGGCGUGUCUCCGCGAGACGUCCUGCCGGUGGGCUUAGCCCGGGACAGGGCGGCCCAACUCUUCGAAUCCCGCCGCGGUGCUCUUCAUUGAGUGUCGAGGCGGGCCGGCACGUUUACUUUGAACAAAUUAGAGUGCUUAAAGCAGGCUAAAACUUCGCCUGAAUACCGUGUGCAUGGAAUAAUGGAAUAGGACCUCGGUUCUAUUUUGUUGGUUUUCGGAACCCCGAGGUAAUGAUUAAUAGGAACGGAUGGGGGCAUUCGUAUUGCGACGUUAGAGGUGAAAUUCUUGGAUCGUCGCAAGACGGACGGAAGCGAAAGCAUUUGCCAAAAA
rnacentral:rRNA from 1 species